rnacentral:rRNA from 1 species
UACGUAGGGGGCGAGCGUUGUCCGGAAUUAUUGGGCGUAAAGAGCUCGUAGGCGGUUCGGCAAGUCACGUGUGAAAUCUCCACGCUCAACGUGGAGGCGCCACGUGAGACUGCCGUGACUCGAGUCCGGUAGGGGAGCGUGGAAUUCCCGGUGUAGCGGUGAAAUGCGCAGAGAUCGGGAGGAACACCCGUAGCGAAGGCGGCGCUCUGGGCCGGUACUGACGCUGAGGAGCGAAAGCAUGGGGAGCGAACAGG